UAUGAACUUAACCCAAUCAAAUUGUUAGCCAAAGUUAAGUCACCAAAGCUACCACAAUCAGCCUCACGUGAAUAGUAAAAUUCAUUUGACUAUAACUUUGGCUACACAACUUCAAAUGAGGUGAUUUAAAAAGAGAAAUAAAGAUGAGACCUAGAGGGACAAUUGUCAUGAAGGACACCUCAUCAAAGUAUGAUUGAAAUUAGGUAAAAAUUGGGUUCAAAGUUUAAUGUACUAAGUUGCCAGAAAAUCAAAACUCUUUGAAAUUUGCAAAGCUAACUUGGGAUGCAUUAGACAUUCAUGUAAUGAGUUUUUGGCAGCAAUUGAGAUGAGUGUUGAGGUAUUCUAUUUGCAUAUUUUCAGUAGAGAAGGAGGUUAGGACGAACAAUGAGAAGUAAGUAAAGAUAAAGGAGUUCAUUGAAGGUUUGUGCACAACUA
rnacentral:misc_RNA from 1 species